rnacentral:rRNA from 1 species
AUGCAGCGGCACCUAAUGGUGACAGUUGUUAAAGCGGGGGAUCGCAAGACCUCGCGUCUGAAGAGGAGCCUGCGGCGGAUUAGCUAGUUGGUAAGGUAAUGGCUUACCAAGGCGAUGAUCCGUAGCCGGCCUGAGAGGGCGGUCGGCCACACUGACACUGACAUACGGGUCAGACUCCUACGGGAGGCAGCAGUCGGGAAUUUUGGGCAAUGGGCGAAAGCCUGACCCAGCAACGCCGCGUGAAGGAUGAAAUCCCUCGGGAUGUAAACUUCGCAAGAACGGGAAGAAUAAGCCGGUGUUAACACCUCUUUCGAUGACGGUACUGUUUGUAAGCUCCGGCUAACUCCGUGCCAGCAGCCGCGGUAAUACGGGGGGAGCAAGCGUUGUUCGGAUUUACUGGGCGUAAAGGGCGCGUAGGCGGCCUCUGCAAGUCGACUGUGAAAUCUCCGGGCUUAACCCGGAACGGUCAGCCGAUACUGCAGGGCUAGAGUGCAGAAGGGGCAACUGGAAUUCUCGGUGUAGCGGUGAAAUGCGUAGAUAUCGAGAGGAACACCUGCGGCGAAAGCGGGUUGCUGGGCUGACACUGACGCUGAGGCGCG